rnacentral:rRNA from 1 species
UACGGAGGGGGUUAGCGUUGUUCGGAAUUACUGGGCGUAAAGCGCGCGUAGGCGGACCAGAAAGUUGGGGGUGAAAUCCCGGGGCUCAACCCCGGAACGGCCUCCAAAACUCCUGGUCUUGAGUUCGAGAGAGGUGAGUGGAAUUCCGAGUGUAGAGGUGAAAUUCGUAGAUAUUCGGAGGAACACCAGUGGCGAAGGCGGCUCACUGGCUCGAUACUGACGCUGAGGUGCGAAAGUGUGGGGAGCAAACAGU